rnacentral:rRNA from 1 species
UACGAACCGUACAAACGUUAUUCGGAAUCACUGGGCGUAAAGCGCGGGCAGGUGGCCUUUUAAGUCCUUUGUGAAAUCCCGGAGCUCAACUCCGGAUGUGCAUAGGAUACUGGAAGGCUUGGGACUGGUAGAGGCGAGCGGAAUUCCUGGUGUAGCGGUGGAAUGCGCAGAUAUCAGGAGGAACACCCAUAGCGAAGGCAGCUUGCUGGGACGUUACUGACGCUAAGGCGCGAAAGCGUGGGGAGCGAACAGG